UUCAGACUGUGCGCACUUGCCCGGCAUAAGUUAUUUUUCCUCGUGCGAUUCCAAUUCCGUCGAAAGUCGAAUUGUUUACUCCGUCGAAACAGCAACGAAAUGCUCCAGAAGAUUCUUUCGAAUGACGGUGAAGGGCCCUGAUAAAGCCGCAAGAAUAUGACGACCACGAGGGAUCAGAAAAAAGAAAAAAGAGCAGAAGGAUUUCCAAGUUUUUUGACAGGUCCCAAAUGCCUGUAGAAGAUUCAAAAAUAAACGAAACUUCAAAAUCAGACACCUUUUUCCGAACUCCUUCCUGUGCUCCGAUCUGAGAACCAUCGUUUUGAGUAAGUUUUUUGUGCAGGUCGUCGUUUUGAAGUUUGCCAACCAGAGGAGCUCUGAACCCAUCUACUUAUGUAGAUCCGUCGAGCAGCUAAUGCCACCAACAAGAUCAUCUAGGGUACUCAAAACCGGACGAUUACCAACCCAGAACAAGUAAAACUUCGCAAAGUUGAUGCUGUGGAGCCGGAUUUCGGAGAAUGUGUGCACGAUGAAGUGUUUCUGGAAACUUCCAGAGACUUCGGCUGUAGAGCCAGUUGAAGAAAUGCAAAUGAACGAGCGUAGACCACCAGAUACUCUAAUUCCUGACUUUCCUGAACAUUGGGGCUCAUCAGCUCCUUGGCUAGCUCCUGGUUCUGAGGAAGUUGGCUUGGGAUCAAUCCAGCCAAAGCCCCAAGAUGAGUCAGAGAUUCAGAAGUGGAUACAGCAAUGUAGAAAGACCAUCUCCCAGCAACUGCAACUAAUAAGUGAGGAGAGCCUCAAGUCGGCGGAGCAAUUACGCAGAACGGGUUAAAUUACGCCCAUACCAGUUCGUCAGGAGCAGUGCCCCAGAAGAUCCGGAUCCUCAGAAGUCCUGCCAAACCUCAAAGUGAGCCCUUGCGCCUGCGCUUUGAAAUUAAGUGCUGUAAACUGUUUCACUCUUCAAGUGAACACAAAGUUGUAUUUUGAGAUGACUGCAAAGAGAAUAGAUAAUAACGUCUUUAAAAGCGAUCGACUUUGAAAUCCGUCCUUAUGGUUUUGGCCACGAUAUCGC